CUGCUCGCUUCGGCAGCACAUAUACUAAAAAUUGGAACGAUACAGAGAAUAUUAGCAUGGCCCCUGUGCAAGGAUGACACACAAAUUCGUGAAGCGUUCCAUAUUUUU
rnacentral:snRNA from 1 species